ensembl:lncRNA
GAGAGAGAGAGAGAGAGAGAGAGGGAGGGAGAGAGGGAGAGGGAGAGAGAGAAGGUUGAGAGAGAAAGAGUGAUGAAGGGCAGAGAGCGAGGGAGAUUGCAAGAAAGCGAAAGCGAGAGAUGAGGGAGAGAGAUAGCAACAUUGAGAGCAAUAAAGUGAUGCAGAGAGAGAGAGAGAGUGUAAGAGAGAGCGAGAGAUGAGGGAGAGAGAGCGAUAAAGACGGAGAGGGUGAGAGGGGUGGUGUUAGUGUUAAGACAGGCAAGAAGGCUGGAAGACAAAUUGAAUGGAAAGACACAGAUAGGAGAGAAGGGGAAUAAAAAACAGGUAAUUAAGAGAGGGAGGGCAGUAAGUGCAGCAUGGUUUUAGAGAGAGAGAGAGAGAGAGAGAGAGAGAGAGAGAGAUCCCCAUCCCCCUGGACUCAAUAAUUGCCCUCUUGCACACAUCCUCCAUAUUGUAAAUACUGUGUAUUCAGAGUGUAUCUUUAAUUGAUCUGUUUAGGAGGGGAGUGGAACAUGAAGGGCUCCGCGCCCUGCUCGCCCACCAGCUGGUAUGUGCGGGUGAGCUUGUGUGACGUCACCUCUGGGCGGAAGCGCUUGCUGGGCGUUUAGUCCUGUGUCCUGUCCUCUCUGUCUGCAGGGAGGUGACAGCAGGGAGGUGAAUAUUGCGUAACGAAGUCUUGCUGACGGUGUUAGAUAUCGGCUUCUCUCUGCCAGGUGUAACGAUACGCCUGGUUAUUGAAAAAUUAAUAAAACAGAACCAAAUUCAAUCAAAGCGUUCAAUCUUGUCAAGGAAUGGAUGUAUAUGUCGGUAUCAGUUCUGUAUCAGGUGUAAGGGCUGCUCCAAACGAUAGCUGAUGAGGACUGUGACCGAUGAGUAAAGACUGGAUCGUCCUGGAAAAACAAAGAGUGUACCUGUCUCUUUUAUUGGUUCUGCUGACAAGAGAAUAUGUGUUAUCCACACAGAGGGCAAUGGAGAUACAGA